GCAAGUCGAACGGUAACAUUUCUAGCUUGCUAGAAGGUGACGAGUGGCGGACGGGUGAGUAAUGCUUGGGAACUUGCCUUUGCGAGGGGGAUAACAGUUGGAAACGACUGCUAAUACCGCAUAAUGUCUUCGGACCAAACGGGGCUUAGGCUCCGGCGCAAAGAGAGGCCCAAGUGAGAUUAGCUAGUUGGUAAGGUAACGGCUUACCAAGGCGACGAUCUCUAGCUGUUCUGAGAGGAAGAUCAGCCACACUGGGACUGAGACACGGCCCAGACCCCUACGGGAGGCAGCAGUGGGGAAUAUUGCACAAUGGGGGGAACCCUGAUGCAGCCAUGCCGCGUGUGUGAAGAAGGCCUUCGGGUUGUAAAGCACUUUCAGUUGUGAGGAAAAGUUAGUAGUUAAUACCUGCUAGCCGUGACGUUAACAACAGAAGAAGCACCGGCUAACUCCGUGCCAGCAGCCGCGGUAAUACGGAGGGUGCGAGCGUUAAUCGGAAUUACUGGGCGUAAAGCGCACGCAGGCGGUUUGUUAAGCUAGAUGUGAAAGCCCCGGGCUCAACCUGGGAUGGUCAUU
rnacentral:rRNA from 1 species